UUUUCGGAGAGUUUGAUCCUGGCUCAGGACGAACGCUGGCGGCGUGCCUAAUACAUGCAAGUCGAGCGGACAGAAGGGAGCUUGCUCCCGGAUGUUAGCGGCGGACGGGUGAGUAACACGUGGGUAACCUGCCUGUAAGACUGGGAUAACUCCGGGAAACCGGAGCUAAUACCGGAUAGUUCCUUGAACCGCAUGGUUCAAGGAUGAAAGACGGUUUCGGCUGUCACUUACAGAUGGACCCGCGGCGCAUUAGCUAGUUGGUGAGGUAAUGGCUCACCAAGGCGACGAUGCGUAGCCGACCUGAGAGGGUGAUCGGCCACACUGGGACUGAGACACGGCCCAGACUCCUACGGGAGGCAGCAGUAGGGAAUCUUCCGCAAUGGACGAAAGUCUGACGGAGCAACGCCGCGUGAGUGAUGAAGGUUUUCGGAUCGUAAAGCUCUGUUGUUAGGGAAGAACAAGUGCGAGAGUAACUGCUCGCACCUUGACGGUACCUAACCAGAAAGCCACGGCUAACUACGUGCCAGCAGCCGCGGUAAUACG
rnacentral:rRNA from 1 species